rnacentral:rRNA from 1 species
CUACGGGGUGCUGCAGUGGGGAAUAUUGCACAAUGGGCGCAAGCCUGAUGCAGCCAUGCCGCGUGUAUGAAGAAGGCCUUCGGGUUGUAAAGUACUUUCAGCGGGGAGGAAGGGAGUAAAGUUAAUACCUUUGCUCAUUGACGUUACCCGUAGAAGAAGCACCGGCUAACUCCGUGCCAGCAGCCGCAGUAAUACGGAGGGUGCAAGCGUUAAUCGGAAUUACUGGGCGUAAAGCGCACGCAGGCGGUUUGUUAAGUCAGAUGUGAAAUCCCCGGGCUCAACCUGGGAACUGCAUCUGAUACUGGCAAGCUUGAGUCUCGUAGAGGGGGGUAGAAUUCCAGGUGUAGCGGUGAAAUGCGUAGAGAUCUGGAGGAAUACCGGUGGCGAAGGCGGCCCCCUGGACGAAGACUGACGCUCAGGUGCGAAAGCGUGGGGAGCAAACAGGAUUAGAUACCCGUGUAGUC